UGAAGUCUCUAACCUUACAGUAUAUGUCUAGAUAUUUAUUAACAACGACAUCAAAAACUAGCAUUACCUUUGUUUUAUAACAUACUGUAUCAGGUCAUUGUCAAAGUUUCUCUUCUGUCUGAUGAGCCAAAGACACAAUCAUUUCCUAAUGCUGAUUUAUUCAGUAACAUGUUAAUCUUAUGUUUGGUCUGAGAUGUUUCAACAGUUUACUGUUUGUUGUUUUGUGUGUUGUAGAUCAACAUGCCAGAGGUACAUGUAGAAAAUGUGGCUUCUUCACGAAAGCAUGUGUGGAUGCAGAAAACGUUUCCUGCUGCCACGAGACCAGAGUGAAGGAUAUUGAUACUCCGCUGCUGCCAGACACAUGUGUCCCAGGAGUCUCUGAUGUCCAGCAAACUCCUGACCGAGAGCAGAUCCGUUCUCAGCUGUCUUGUGUCAGUGGUCCGUCUGCAGUGGCAGCUGUUUCGAACGCAAAAGAAACCGAGGGAGCCAGCAUGGAGGACAAUUUGAAGGACGAACCACAAGAACAACGUGCCAAUGAGACAGACGAAAGAACGCUGCUGGCUGUUAAGCCGUCUGAUAGCAAGACAAAGUGCUACUGGGACAGAUGAAAGAACGCUGUUGUCUUUUAAGCCAUCUGAUAGAGAAUUUCAGUCCGUCUAUGAAAAACAAUUCUCUUUAGGAAGUGGUAACUAUGGAGACGUCUACAUGGCAAUACGCAAAUCUGAUGGUCGAAAGGUUCCUGUCAAAUCCAUAAAAAGGUGUAAACACGACAUUCCUAUUGCUGUUGCUGGCUAUCCGAAACCUGUGAUGACUGAAGUGGCAAUGAUGGGCUAUGUUGCAAAAACCUCCCACAUGUCCUUAUGUCAUUGAAAUGUUUGAGUGGUUUGACUACCCAGACAAGAUAGAAAUUGUUAUGGAAUGUCCUGCUCCCUGCUUGGAACUGAAGACAUUAAUUUCUUUUCAUUACCUCACCGAACAAAAAGUCAGGAACCUCAUUUGUCAGACAGUUCAAGCUGUGAAGCACAGCCUUGACAGAGGCGUCUUUCAUAACGACAUCCACACAAGCAACAUCCUGGUCAACACCAGAACCUACAACCUCAUGUUAAUAGUCUUCUGCUGUGCUCUUGAAUACAAAAAGGGCAAACUCUUUCCCAACCAUAAAUAUAGAGGAGGAUAUGAUUACCGGCCAUCUGAGGUCAAGGCUAUGAAGGAUUUUGAGGGCGAGCAGAAUGUUUUUCAGCUAGGGAAGCUCCUGGAAAAAUGUCUCCUGAGUGUAGGCCAAGAGUAAGCAUCUGUGAGUCAAUUGACAAGAAUACUGUAACCCACAGCUGAGUGCACACAGAAAGAGUCCAUUUUUGUUAUUAUUAGAGCAGAAAUGUCAAAUCUAGCAAAUAUCUGGGUAAAACCAUUGCUUUCAUCAGAGAAUUCAUAUAGUGCAUCAUGUGGUGACCAUGACUAGAGGGUUUAAUUUAAGGCCUAUCUAUUACCAGGGCUUAUAUAAUAUGAUUACAUAUGUCAUCAUUUGUAGUGCCAUCGUAGGUUUGACCUUAAAUUUCAUGUAAUGUAGCAUUAUAAUUGCUACCUUUGACUAACCAGCUCGCUUUAAACUGUUAUAGAUUGUAGAAAGCUUUCAGCUGUAUGCAAAGCCUACAUUCCAAAAGACCGGCCAGAGGUUGUCAAGCUCUUAGACCACAAGUGGUUUAGAUACGCUUGAGUCAGUCCCUACAAGGACUUCUUAAAGAACCAUAUGCAACUAAAAUGACAUCAAUUAGUUUUGUAAUACAGUAGUAAAUGUUUCUUUUGUGAAUUCUUCAUUGACAUAAUUAUUCAACCCCUUAAAGACUACCACUCUGAAGAACAGAGGUUCAAUGAAGUGUUUUCAAUCAGAUAUUGAAAACACCUGUGGAUAUCAGGGAGCAGCAAUAAAGCCUAAUAAGCACCAAUUAGGCAGCUUUAAAAUGACUGUGAUACUCAGCUCCUUCUAGACAUUUACUGGUGUGGUUACAAACAUGGUGAGGUCAAGAGAAUGGUCCAGGAAGACAAGAGAACAGGUGAUUACUCUUCACAGGAAGGGCAAUAGCUAUAAGAAGAUUGCAAAGAUGUUAAACAUACCAAGAGACACCAUAGGAAGCAUCAUUCGCAAAUUCAAGGCAAAGGGCACUGUUGAAACGCUACCUGGUCGUGGCAGAAAGAAGAUGCUGACUUCGACUGCUGUGCGCUACCUGAAGCGUAGAGUGGAGAAAAGUCCCCGUGUGACUGCUGAGGAACUGAGAAAAGAUUUGUCAGAUGUGGGUACUGAAGUUUCUGCUCAGACAAUACGGCGCACCCUGCGUAAUGAAGGCCUCCAUGCCAGAACUCCCAGGCGCAUCCCCCUUGCUGUCCCCAAAGAAUAAGAAGAGUCGACUGCAGUAUGCCAAAAGUCAUGUGGACAAACCACAGAAGUUUUGGGAUAGUGUUCUGUGGACUGAUGAAACAAAAUUAGACCUGUUUGGACCCAUGGAUCAACACUAUGUUUGGAGGAGGGCUUAUGAAGAAAAGAACACCUUGCCUACUGUGAAGCAUGGCGGGGGUCAAUCAUGCUUUGGAGCUGUUUUGCUUCUGCAGGUACUGGGAAGCUUCAGCGUGUGCAAGGUACCAUGAAUUCUCUUCAGUACCAGGAGAUAUUGGAUGACAAUGUGAUGCAGUCCGUCCCAAACCUGAGGCUUGGAAGACGUUGGACCUUUCAACAGGACAAUGAUCCCAAGCAUACCUCCAAGUCCACUAGAGCAGAUCAAAGUUUCAGAUUAAAGGCUGGAACAUUUUGAAGUGGCCAUCGCAGUCACCAGACUUAAAUCCGAUUGAGAACCUCUGGUGGGACUUAAAGAAAGCAGUUGCAGUGCGCAAGCCUAAGAAUGUGACUGAACUGGAGGCUUUUGCCCAUGAUGAAUGGGCGAAGAUACCCGUAGAUCGCUGCAAGACACUUGUGUCAAGCUAUGCUUCACGUUUAAAAGCUGUUAUAACUGUAAAAGGAUGUUGUACUAAGUACAAAGAUUGAAUGUCACUUGGGG